rnacentral:rRNA from 1 species
UACAGAGGGUGCAAGCGUUAAUCGGAUUUACUGGGCGUAAAGCGCGCGUAGGCGGCCAAUUAAGUCAAAUGUGAAAUCCCCGGGCUUAACUUGGGAAUUGCAUUCGAUACUGGUUGGCUAGAGUGUGGGAGAGGAUGGUGGAAUUCCAGGUGUAGCGGUGAAACGCGUAGAGAUCUGGAGGAAUACCGAUGGCGAAGGCGGCCAUCUGGCCUAACACUGACGCUGAGGUUCGAAAGCGUGGGGAGCAAACAGG